rnacentral:rRNA from 1 species
UGGCGGACGGGUGAGUAACGCGUGGGCAACCUGCCUUACACAGGGGGAUAACACGUUAGAAAUAGGUGCUAAAACCGCAUAAGCGCACAGCUUCGCAUGAAGCGGUGUGAAAAACUCCGGUGGUGUAAGAUGGACCCGCGUCUGAUUAGCUUGUUGGCGGGGUAACGGCCCACCAAGGCGACGAUCAGUAGCCGGCCUGAGAGGGCGGACGGCCCACAUUGGGACUGAGACACGGCCCAGACUCCUACGGAAGGCAGCAG